rnacentral:rRNA from 1 species
UACGUAGGGUGCGAGCGUUAAUCGGAAUUACUGGGCGUAAAGCGUGCGCAGGCGGUUUUGCAAGACAGGGGUGAAAUCCCCGGGCUUAACCUGGGAACUGCACUUGUGACUGCACAGCUGGAGUGCGGCAGAGGGGGAUGGAAUUCCGCGUGUAGCAGUGAAAUGCGUAGAUAUGCGGAGGAACACCAGUGGCGAAGGCGGCCUUCUGGGACUCAACUGACGCUGAAGCGCGAAAGCAUGGGGAGCGAACGGG